UAGGAACUGCCACCGGGUAGUGUAUGCUGUUAAGCAUUCGUCGCACAUCGUUAGGUCUUUGAAGAUGUGCGCCACGGGUGCUUAUUUUUUA
rnacentral:ncRNA from 1 species